rnacentral:rRNA from 1 species
GACGAACGCUGGCGGCGUGCUUAACACAUGCAAGUCGUACGGUAAGGCCCUUUCGGGGGUACACGAGUGGCGAACGGGUGAGUAACACGUGAGUAACCUGCCCACAACUUUGGGAUAACGCUAGGAAACUGGUGCUAAUACUGGAUAUUUGCUCCUGCUGCAUGGUGGGGGUUGGAAAGCUCCGGCGGUUGUGGAUGGACUCGCGGCCUAUCAGCUUGUUGGUGGGGUAGUGGCCUACCAAGGCGGCGACGGGUAGCCGGCCUGAGAGGGUGACCGGCCACAUUGGGACUGAGAUACGGCCCAGACUCCUACGGGAGGCAGCAGUGGGGAAUAUUGCACAAUGGGCGCAAGCCUGAUGCAGCAACGCCGCGUGCGGGAUGACGGCCUUCGGGUUGUAAACCGCUUUCAGCAGGGACGAAGCUUUUUGUGACGGUACCUGCAGAAGAAGCACCGGCUAACUACGUG